UGAGCAUGGACAAGAUGGCUGCUGGUGUGGCCAUUGCUCCUCAGAAAAUGUCUGCCAUGGUGACCUGCCCUCACUGCAAAAUGGCUGCCACUAGAGUCACCACCAAGGUUCAGAUGGCUUGUCACUAUUUUCCCUGCCCCAUGCCAGGAGUUUAUUCUCUCUCCUGUCACAGUGUGGUCUCUGCCUGCCCUACCUGCUGAAGGAAAAGCAUGCCUAGCGCUUACCUUUGGGGUGCCAUUAUCCAUCCUCCCACAAGGACAAGGUGGGGAGGAAAGGUCACAGGCUCCCAGGCUCACUGUCACCUUCCCUCACUGCAAAGGGAACUCUUGAGUGCGUUUUUCCCAAAGUGCCAUUUGCUGGAGGUAUGCCAUUAGAUGUUGUUUCAUUCAAGAUACAUGCUUCUAAUCUUACAGGGCUUACACAACACCAAGGCCUUCUCUGCUCCUCAUCCCAGCAGUGAGGAGGCUGGGGGUGCACAAAGAGUUGGGAAGGGGACACAGAUGGGACAGCUGACCCCAGAUGACCCAGACCAUAUGUCAUCAUGUCCAGUACAUAAAGCUGGGGAAGAAGAGUGUUUGGAAUUACAGCAUUUGAAUUCCCAAGUAACCACUGAGUGCGAUGGAGCCCUGCUUUCUUGUGCAUGGUUCAACAUUUGC